rnacentral:rRNA from 1 species
UGGGGAAUAUUGCACAAUGGGCGCAAGCCUGAUGCAGCCAUGCCGCGUGUAUGAAGAAGGCCUUCGGGUUGUAAAGUACUUUCAGCGGGGAGGAAGGGAGUAAAGUUAAUACCUUUGCUCAUUGACGUUACCCGCAGAAGAAGCACCGGCUAACUCCGUGCCAGCAGCCGCGGUAAUCCGGAGGGUGCAAGCGUUAAUCGGAAUUACUGGGCGUAAAGCGCACGCAGGCGGUUUGUUAAGUCAGAUGUGAAAUCCCCGGGCUCAACCUGGGAACUGCAUCUGAUACUGGCUAUCUUGAUUCUCGUAGAGGACGGUAGAAUUCCAUGUGUAGCGGUGACAUGCGUAGAGAUGUGGAGGAAUACCGGUCGCGAAUGCGGCCCCCUGAACAAUGACUGACGCUCCGGUGCGAAAGCGUGGGGAGCAAACAGG